UCUUCCUCCUCCGCCUCCCCCUAAAUCUCGCGGAUAAAUAAGCGAGCGGGAGAAAGCAAUUUGGACUCUAGAGAGAGAGAGAGGGGAAAGCGGCGGGGGAAGGGAAGGUCAAGGCAUCUCCCAUCGUCGUUCCGGGAGGGAGAGAUUCUUGGGACGAGGCGCCGCGGAAGGAAUUUCUGGCCCCAGUGUUUCGCUUCCAUGGAGAGGGACUUCCUGGGCGCGAUUGGCCGGGCGGGGAAGGGCGGCGGCGGCGACGCGGUGAAGGAGGGCCGGACGGAGUCAGAUAACCCGCCGGCGACGCAGUGGCAGUUCCCGGCGACGUCCGGCGCGGCGCCGGCGUUCAUGUCUUUCCGGACGCCCAGGGAGGAGGACCACAAGGAGUUCUCCAUCUCCGGGUUCCGGCCGGUGUCGGCAGCGGCAACCGGAGACGCCUUCGACGGCAUCAAGAAGCAGACCUCCUUGCCCGUGAUGCCUCAGCAGAGGCAGUUCGGGCUCAACAACCAGGUCACGGCGCCGCAGUAUCAUCCCGCUGCGCCCUACGGCCAGCGCGUGCAGGGGAUGGAUUAUAAUCAUCUCCCUGCUGGAACAAGGAUGGUUCAGCCGGUCUCGGUGCGGCAUCCUGCGCCGCUCAACCAGGCGAAUCCGAUGCUCAGGUCGCAGAGCUUCCACAACGGCACUGUUGGGCCAUUCAAGAAUCAACCAUUCACCAUGAGCAAUGGGUUUGGUGGAUGUACGGUUGGCGUGUAUGGCUCAAGGAACCCACGGAGUCGGACCUCAACGCAGUUGACAAUAUUCUACAAUGGUUCUGUAAAUGUAUUCGACAGCAUCCCCGUGGAGAAGGCUAAAGAACUUAUGAUGUUAGCCAGCAGGGCAUCUAUUCCAAGCCCGCCAAGUGCGCGCCACAAACCAGAUUCACCUAUUUCUACCCCUGCAAAGGUCAACGUGCCUGAGGUUUUGCCUGCUAGGCAGAUCGUAAUUCAGAAACCAGAUCCAUCCGUGCCUCAUGUAUCAACCACUUCAAGUCCAAUUCCCGUUGUCCCACAAGUUGUGACUCUCUCCAGGAAUACAUCCAACAGUACCAUUGAACCCAUGAGGCCAAAACCUGCUGUUCAAAUGCCGGUCACUGCUCCUACCAGUCAGGCAAUGCCGGUCACGGCUCCUACCAGUCAGGCACCCUCGUCUCAGCCAAUGCCGCUGGCAACUACAAGUGCUGCUGUGCCAAGAGCUGUCCCUCAAGCUCGGAAAGCAUCUCUUGCCCGAUUCUUGGAGAAGCGAAAGGAGAGAGUGACUAGUGUCGAGCCAUACCCGACAUCGAAGAGCCCGCUACAGAGCAGCGACAACUAGGGCUCCCACCAAAUCGUCGUCCACAGAGAUCGCCCCAACGAGCAGCAACGGGGAGGAACCCUUGCUCUUCGGCCAGCCCAGAAACAUCAGCUUCAGCACCGAAGCCUGCCCCAGCACGAAGUUGCAUAUCUGAUACCUUCAAGUGUUCAUAGUAGACUCCUCGCUCACGGACGCGGAAGCCUGAUGUCCUGUUCCACGUCCGGAUGAGGCGGGAAGAUAGGAAGAGACGGACAUUUAGAUGUUGUCUUGCUGAGUAUAAUUUUGUGUGGCUAGAGCUGUAUCUAUACGUAGUGUUGGCCUAGCCGCUACAUAGCUACUGCAGCCCGCUGCUGCUGCGUUGCAGGCUCUUCUUGUUUUUUUUUUUUGGAGGGGGACUGCUCCAUUGUAGUGUUAAGCCUGAGAAAACAGACGUGCUGAUUUCGCCUCUGAAUGAAUGUUAUAGGAUUAUACAGAUUGCAUUGUUUUGAA